rnacentral:rRNA from 1 species
AAAUUGAAGAGUUUGAUCAUGGCUCAGAUUGAACGCUGGCGGCAGGCCUAACACAUGCAAGUCGAACGGUAACAGGAAGCAGCUUGCUGCUUCGCUGACGAGUGGCGGACGGGUGAGUAAUGUCUGGGAAACUGCCUGAUGGAGGGGGAUAACUACUGGAAACGGUGGCUAAUACCGCAUAACGUCGCAAGACCAAAGAGGGGGACCUUCGGGCCUCUUGCCAUCAGAUGUGCCCAGAUGGGAUUAGCUGGUUGGUGAGGUAACGGCUCACCAAGGCGACGAUCCCUAGCUGGUCUGAGAGGAUGACCAGCCACACUGGAACUGAGACACGGUCCAGACUCCUACGGGAGGCAGCAGUGGGGAAUAUUGCACAAUGGGCGCAAGCCUGAUGCAGCCAUGCCGCGUGUAUGAAGAAGGCCUUCGGGUUGUAAAGUACUUUCAGCGGGGAGGAAGGUGUUGUGGUUAAUAACUGCAGCAAUUGACGUUACCCGCAGAAGAAGCACCGGCUAACUCCGUGCCAGC